rnacentral:rRNA from 1 species
GACGAACCGUGCGAACGUUGUUCGGAUUCACUGGGCUUAAAGGGCGCGUAGGCGGGCAUUCAAGUCAGGGGUGAAAGCCCCCGGCCUAACCGGGGAAGUGCCUCUGAGACUGAGUGUCUCGAGUGGGGUAGGGGCAGUUGGAACUCUCGGUGGAGCGGUGAAAUGCGUAGAUAUCGGGAGGAACGCCGGUGGCGAAAGCGGGCUGCUGGACCCCCUUCUGACGCUGAGGCGCGAAAGCCAGGGGAGCGAACGGGG